ensembl:lncRNA
UGCAGGAUUCAGAAGGGUAACAUAGAUGAGGGUAGAAUGCAGGAGGAUUGAAUACAGGAGGGUAGAAUUCAGGAGGGUAGAAUAGAUGAGGGUAGAAUGCAGGAGGGUAGAAUAGAUGAGGGGUAGAAUACAGGAGGGUAGAAUUCAGGAGGGGUAGAAUGCAGGAGGGUAGAAUACAGGAGGGUAGAAUAGAUGAGGGGUAGAAUACAGGAGGGUAGAAUAGAUGAGGGGUAGAAUACAGGAGGGUAGAAUACAGGAAUGUAGAAUAGAUGAGGGGUAGAAUACAGGAGGGUAGAAUGCAGGAGGGUAGAUAUAGUAGGACAGAAUACAGGAGGGUAGAAUACAGGAAGACAGAAUACAGGAAGAUAGAAUACAGGAAGACAGAAUACAGGAAGAUAGAAUACAGGAAGAUAGAAUACAGGAAGAUAGAAUACAGGAAGAUAGAAUACAGGAAGACAGAAUACAGGAAGAUAGAAUACAGGAAGAUAGAAUACAGGAAGACAGAAUACAGGAAGAUAGAAUACAGGAAGACAGAAUACAGGAAGAUAGAAUACAGGAAGAUAGAAUACAGGAAGAUAGAAUACAGGAAGACAGAAUACAGGAAGAUAGUAUACAGGAAGGUAGAAUACAGGAGGGUAGUAAACAGUAGGACAGAAUACAGGAGGGUAGUAUAUAGUAGGACAGAAUACAGGAGGGUAGUAUAUAGUAGGACAGAAUACAGGAGGGUAGUAUAUAGUAGGACAGAAUACAGGAGGGUAGAAUCCAGGAGUGAUGAAUAGUGCCAACUAUAAAGUUUGGUGGAUGAGGAAUAAUGGUCUGGGGCUGUUUUUCAUGGUUCGCACUCCUUAGUUCCAGUGAAGGGAAAGCUUAACGCUGCAGCAUACAAUGACAUUCUAGAAGAUUCUGUACUUCCAACUUUGUGGCAACUGUUCGGGGAAGCCCUUUCUUGUUUCAGCAUGACAAAACGAGGUCCAUACAGAAAUGGUUUGCUGAGAUCAGUGUGGAAGAACUUGACUGGCCUGCAGAAAGCCCUGACCUCAACCCCAUCAAACACCUUUGGGAUUAAUUGGAACACCGACUGCGAGCCAGACACAAUCGCCCAACAUCAGUGCCCGACCUCAUUAAUGCUUGUGGCUGAAUGGAAGCAAGUCCCCGCAGCAAUGUUCCAACAUCUAGUGGAAAGCCUUCCCAGAAGAGUGGAGGCUGUUAUAGCAGCAAUGUUCCAACAUCUAGUGGAAAGCCUUCCCAGAAGAGUGGAGGCUGUUAUAGCAGCAAUGUUCCAACAUCUAGUGGAAAGCCUUCCCAGAAGAGUGGAGGCUGUUAUAGCAGCAAAGGGGGAACCAAGUCCAUAUUAAUGAGAUGUUGAGGUGAGGUGUCCACAUACUUUAUG